UUUUUUUCCAAAAGCAACUAGUGUAGGUCCUUACUUUAAAUAUUUUAGCCACAAGUUCUACGUUAAAUUACCAAUCUAAGUUAGCAGCUAUACUAAUCAAGCAUAGUUUCCAAACAAUUAAUGCAAGGAAUCAUAUUAGAUCAUCACCAUCUUUCAUUCUUACUUAGUGUAGCAUAGCGAUCAAGCAGUCCCAAACUGUAAGAGAUAGACGAAUGCCCC
rnacentral:lncRNA from 1 species